UACGAAGGGGGCUAGCGUUGUUCGGAAUCACUGGGCGUAAAGCGCACGUAGGCGGAUGUGCCAGUCAGGGGUGAAAUCCCUGGGCUCAACCCAGGAACUGCGUCCGAUACUGGUUGGCUUGAAUCCGGGAGAGGGAUGUGGAAUUCCAGGUGUAGCGGUGAAAUGCGUAGAUAUCGUAAGGAAGACCAGUGGCGAAGGCGGGUCGUCUGGACGUUCCGUGACGC
rnacentral:rRNA from 1 species